rnacentral:tRNA from 1 species
GGGGAAGUGGCUCGGUGGUAGAGUUCUUGCUUUGUAUGCAUAAGGCCCUGGGUUCAAUCCCCAGCCCCA